rnacentral:lncRNA from 1 species
UUAAUUAAAUUUAUAUUUAUCCUUUUAUGUAAUUUCUAAUAACAAUAGAACAAUGUCUAUGAUUACAAAAGUGGGGCGUUAUACGGAUAUCAAAUGGGUGUAAAAAGCAUUACAAAAAUAGGAUGUUGUAUUUACCCGAGUUCGGCCUCAUUCUAGACCCCAUAAUUGUUACAGUUUACAACUUACAAGCCCAUUAGAGACAAUUAGCCAUUGAAUAGGGAUGGCAAUGGGGUGUGUGAGGGUGAGAGGCCUACCCCAUUCUCCAAUCAAUUAAAUGGGGUGGGGAAGGGGAUGAAGAAUCUUCAUGUGGGGAAUAAUUUCUUUAUUUUUAUCACAUUUUUCAUUUACCUGUUUCA